rnacentral:rRNA from 1 species
AUGCGCCGGGUUUCGCCGGUGCGUGGACAUAACGACGUGCUACCUGGCCAUCGCGGGACGCGGCGCAAAGAGAGCCGGUCGCGGCCACUGGAGUAUACUGCGACCAAAGUGGCGUCAGGCUAUGUCAAUUUUGGAGGCGGCGGCUCAGAGGUGCCCCGACAAAUUCGCGACGGAGGGCGGACCAUGGUCAGAGGACCAGGCAGUGGCUACUUAACCCCGGCCAUGAAGGUAGGCGGUGUUCGGCCACAGUGGAGCAGGCGGCUCGUCACGCUGAAGGCAAGGCAGAGCAGGGCGAGGGCGGUUCUCCGGCGUCCCGGAGUAGCAGCGGAAGCGGCGACUGCGGGAGCGCAGAGGUGGCUUGGCGCGACUCGGUGGAGCAAGGGCGCGAUGGCGACUUAG